CUUUUUUUAUUGUUUUUAAUCUAAUCUGUUGUAUGACGAUGAAGACCGUUGGCUUGUUAUUGCGCUUCUGAAAAAAAUACUUUUGCCCCAGUCUUUUUAAGUGUGUCAAAGUACAUCGUCCUUGCAGUCAUCUGACAGCACUUUCUACUGACUGAGCAAAUAACGCUUCUGCAAGGAUAAGGGUGUACCUGCUCUGACAUUUAGUUUAGUGUUUAUACUGCAGCUAGUUUAGGUUUAAAAACAUGCGUUGACUGAAGCCAUAAGUUGGUUAAAUUAUUGAAAAUGAGGUGAACAGAAUAAAACUAUUCAAAACUGUAUAAUCCAAUUUGGAGAUUUGUGAGGAAAUGUGCAAGAAAAUAACAUUCUGGAUGAGGGAUUUGCAGAAAAGAGGUUUGGCAGCAUACACACACACAAGUACAUGAACACAUUUUUAUUGCAAUAGCUCUAUCGAAAGCAAAAAAGUUUUGAUAAAUAUAAACACUAUGCUCAAACAAUCUCAGUUUUCCCUCCGCAAGAGAGAAAGAAAAAAAUAACAAACAGGUGAAAGAGUAGAAAGAAAAAAACGUAGAGGUGUGGGCGGGGCCCCUACAGGGCCAGGGGGGAAGGCGGGAGGGAAGGGGGCCCAACACAAAAUAAAAUAUGCGACAGGUUGCACUUCUUUAUUUACAGAAAAGAGGAUUUAAUCUCAACGCACGUUCUUAUCGUAUUUUUAACUCCUUUAAUUCUGUGUCGUGUAUCGCACCUGGGAAAUGUGUUCAAAUGCACAAAGGGAUACACAGUGUGCGAAAUACAAGGGACUCACUGAUUGACACUUGUGACCCCCUGAAAGCCUCAACUGCAACAUUUUGGGGGGGCCUCUGGAGAAUAACGUCAGACGGGCAGAAGAAGAUCAAUUGGUGACAAUGAUUUGUGGUGUUCAAAUAAACAUCGCUUGAAAGAGUUAAGAACACGAUGUUGACCGCGAAUAAUAAGCAUCAGCAAACACCGUCUUCUCAGUCUUCUUCAGCGCGUCUUAACAAAGAUCAGUUUUCAUUACUGUCUGCGGUGCCUCCUAGUGGCAUUAUAAAUUAAGCCACCAUCACAGAACACAAAGUCGGUAUAACCAGCGCUGCGGAGCGUCGCUGUUGAGCUUCUUCAUUUUCGAGAUAAUUACCUAAAGAUUCAGUCGUUUGUUGCAGACAUGUUAAAAAGAAAAAGGAUUGUAUUGGAUUGUAAAAAGCAAAAUAAUACUAACUAGGGGCAUGCCCGUAGACAGCAAUGAGAUCACGCUGUCUGGAUCUUGUCCAUUUUUUUGAGGAGUUUAGGAGAUCUGGGGGUGCAUGCACGAGCCGAGCACAACCGUUGAUUCAAACUGGAUAUUUCGCACACUGGGUACACACCUCAACUUUAAAAAAAGAAAAAAAAAGUAAAAGCUAAUUAAUAAUUAAGCUAAUUAUCAACAGCCUUCUACUCCGGCAAAUAGAACGCAGCUGGGUGAGCGAAAUUCUGAAUUCCAGAAUUGUUCAUUCCGAAAAUUCUCUCGGGGUUCUGGAAUCAAGGACCAUCCUUGAACUGACACCAGGGCCGAUCUCCCUUCGAUCGAUAUCGGCAUAAAUAAUCAACAUAACCAUCCUCGUCGAUAUGCUUCCAAUCAUACGCAUCCCAUUUGUUGACUGAUCUAUGCAGCAGCAAAAAAACUAAAACUGAUAUAGUUACAAAAAAUAUUAGCGGUCAAACCAUUUCUCUAUACAAAUGACUGCAAAAUGCCUACGUAAGUCGGAGGAAGAGUUCCUCUCUCCUUUUCCCGGUGUCAUCUACUACACACUUGACCCCCGUUGCAACGAGGUAUGUACACAAUGUAGCACAACAACCAAAGUAUAAUAAGAUGAUUCAUUUCUCUGUAAACCAAGUACAAAACACCAAAAAAGGAAAACUUAAAUUGUUUGCAUAUUGACGCAGUACCUUUAAUGUUCUCUGUGGUGAUAAUGUAGCCGCAGUUCUUCAGCGCGGGGGAAAAACUACGACGACCAAGUUUUUUUCGCUUUUCAUUAAUCUUUGCAACCUCGCCAAAAUCAAAGCGUGUCAAGUUUGACAGUAUGGCGUCGUCUGAAUUCACAAAGUUCUAGAACACAAAGACAUAGAACAUUCUAGAUUCUAGAACUCUAUGGCAGAUCUGGCAAAUUGGCAAAAUGAUAAUUAUAUGAUUACAAAAGGGGGUUUGUUUGUAAAUACAGAGAAUUAAAACAAAAUAAUUGCGCAUCUGUAGCAUAGAAAACCCAGCAACACAUAACCAAAAGAAAGUUGUUGUUUUUUUACACAGGCAACAGCCUUGGUGAUUCAUAUAUUCAGUAAUUUGUUCAUCAAAAGGGGACAAAUCAAAAAAUAAAAGGAAAAUAUGCAAAUUGUACAUGUAAGACACGUCACAGAGUUCCUAUCUUUUUCUUUAAACAAUUUCAUCAAAUGUCAACCAUUUAAGUCGGACCACCGAGAUAUCACGAUCCCCGCGACUGUACCGUUGACGCGCUGCACCCCGAGAAUGACAAUUAAACACAGCGCUAGUUAAACAAUAUGUACCAUAAACCGUGACGACCAUUGUAACUGUUUCUGCAACUUUGAGAACUUGCAGGUCUGUUUAUAUUAUUAGAUCUACCGCGAGACUCAUGUCCAAGUCACUCCAGUAAGUGGACUUUUUAACCUUAUAUAAACUCCACCCACAUCAGAAUUUGCACUUAUUGGUAUUGAAUCCAAGGUCCCUCCGCCCUAGAUUUAAAGGUUAAGUUUUAAUUAAGGUGCCUGACUGGCCAUAGUUCGGUUCAAUUUAAAGUGGGGGCUAUGAAUAAGCCAAUACUGGAUCGCACAAGAGCAUGAGCUGAGGUGAAAUUAAUAGGUUCCGUACACUGACAUUGAGAAUAAAUAUUUCAGCCAAUCGCAGCAGUUUGUCCAAGUGAUAUCACGUCAUGGGAGAGUGGCACGAGGCCCAUCGCUAAAUGUAGGGGUUUCGACAUAUGCCUGAGAAGGCCAGGAUUAUUGUGGGUCUUUUCUCUCCCUCUGUGUGUGUGUGUGUGUGUGUGUGUGUGUGUGUGUGUGUGUGUGUGUGUGUGUGUGUGUGUGUGUGUGUGUGUGUGUGUGUGUGUGUGUGUGUGUGUGUGUGUGUGUGUGUGUUCGAACACUGCACCUGGAGUUGCGACUCAUAUUUCAGUAACGUCACAGAGUGUGUGUGCACACGCGUGUUAGUGUGCAUGCGUCUCAAGUAUUCCGGCCAUCAUCCAGAACUGCUGACAAUGACGGCUAUAACUGACGCACUGAGGGGUUACCCGUGUGUGCGUGCGUCAGACGCGUGGACCGCUUAAUGUCUCAUAUGUGACAGUGUCUUUCAGAGUUUGCAUGCACACAAACGCACACACCAGGAUGUUUGAAAAGUGCAUGCCUUUGUGCGUUUGUAAGCCCUACGUGUUCGGGGCGACUUUUCCCUGUGUGUCUAGUGUGUGGAAAGAGCAUCUGAAAUGCAUAUAGGCUCACGCUUUAGUACAUGCUGUUGAAAUGAACAAAGUAGUGUUUGAAAAGUGUGCGUACUCUCUCUCCAUGGUAAACCUGAAGUAUGUCACGGACUAUGAGGUAUAACGGAUGAUUCAAUUAUUAUUAUUAUACAAUUGAUUAAUCAGACCCUUUUUCAGCCAAUAGUCUCCGAUAAGCUGAACGAUCUGAAACACCGAUCGCAAACAACAGGACCGUUCUCCUCCCUGGAGAAAGCCCAGCCUCCUCUCCUACGCAACAGAACCAGGCAGAGGUCAACUGAAACCACCAGUUCCCACACAUGUACCAAAACCAGAAAUGUACCAGGUUCAAAAAAAAUAAUAACAUGGCUAUGCCGACAAAGCAACAAAAUACUAUGACAGAAAAUUCCGUCCGCCCUCGAUAGUUUUACAUUGUGGAGUGAAAGUGCGAUUGUUGUUUUUCUGCGUUACCGAAACCUACUAGUGUUUUUCCCGGGGAUCUGAUGGAGGUCCUUACUGGCCUGGUUAAAUCUAAGCUCUGAAGAGGUUAUUCGGUGGACAAGGUACGACAGCGAGAGUAGUCGUAAUUAUGAGUAGAUCCCACACCCGAAAGACUUUCCCUGUACCCUAUCUUUGAAAAGGGAGAGUUCCAGCAACUAGUUGGACCAUUUCAUUGGAGCUUUGGGAGGGGAGCUGUACCAUUUAAAAACCACAAAAAUGAGUCAAUAAUAACAACAAUUCAGAGUGACGCGGGGGCUGUAACCAUGACAAGCCCUUCUACGUGGUACCGUAUUGAGAAGAGGGUCGGUUGGUUUUGACAACUACCUACCUGUACCUAUUCUACAAGCAUCCUGGCCCAUGUCAAUUGCAAACCAGGCUUUUAGAUGAAAGGGGAGUGGGGGGGAAGGGGUAGCAGCACUGUGGGAAGUGGGAUUUAAAAACAAAACAAAAACGAUAUGCAUAUAAAAAGACAAAAUAAAAUGAAUAAUACAGAUGAGGGUAUAUAUAUAUAUAUAUAUAUAUAUAUAUAUAUAUAUAAAAAAAAAAUGUUAACCCGCAAGCUGUUGCUGUCGACCUUGUUGAGUUCGGGGCUGCAGGGGGGGGGAGCUGCAAGGUUGGAGGUCAAAAGGUCAAGUGUCUCUGAUACCCCCGUCCCUCGCAUCUCCACCACGAACACAGAGAUGGGAGACCAGGGUGGGCUCUCGACUCCUCAGUCUGUGGGGAGAGAAAGAGAGACAUCUUAAGUAGGCCACACAUCAGUGGACGGUCCGUGUAGCACGAGUAGUAUUCAUUCUCACAAUGUGAUCGGUUUGGUGUACAAUCGUACAUUCAGAUCAACAGUGAAAGAGCAAUAAAUGGCUUUUAAUAACCAUAGAUAUUUCCAAUGGUCCAUCGUAUGAUGUGAAUCGCCGGCAUAGUAUGGACCUAGCAGUGUGCUGAGCCGGUAUCUUAGCCUUUAGCUCAGCUGUUCAAUUAGACGUUUCCUUGGAGUUUAUGGAAGCUUAGCCCCUGUACAGUGGGCACAUGGCCAGGCAUGUGCAUGCGUGUGUGGUCGUGCAUGUAUAUGUUUAUCCAUAUCUGUGUGUCCGUGUCCGCAGAGCACCAAUGGACUACUAUAACAGUAGCUAGCCUGUGUAUGCUAGCUAAGAGGUAGAGAUGUAGAGAGAAUAUCCGAGUGAAAGGCUGAGGAGUUAGAGGAUGGGUAGAGGGAAGACGGGGGGAGAGAAGAGAGCAGGACCUGUCUUGUACAGAACAGUACAAUGGGGAGAGUGUAUAAUAAAUGUGUAUACAAGUCGCACAAAAUGCAGAUGCAGUCUUCCCAUGAGACCCAAACACAAUGUAUUUUCUAUUCUUAUUAAUUAAGAUACCUUAUAUUUCUAAACAAAAAAGGAAUGGAAAGAUAUAGACGAAAGAGUGAGAGAGAGCAUCCCUGACUGAUCAAAUCAACCUUCUUAGGACCCACACACACACUGCAGUCACACUUAACACACCUGUGCCAUUGACUGUUUUUCCCUUUACAAGAGAACAGUCCCUCACCCUCCCCUCCUAACUGAGUUCUUAAUCCAUUCUUUACUCCUUCUAAUCUGCCUCUCCAACUCUCUCCUUAACUCAUCCCUCCACUCAUUCACUUCAAUGCUCUUCAUUCAUUAACACAGCUACCCCAUCUUUCCCUUGCAUUCUUUUGCCUUUAACAACCACCACCACCACUCCCUCACCUCUCAACAUCACCUCAUUUUACCCCAGUAGGGAGGUGCAAUGCAUCAUGGGUAUUAGGGGGCCCAGCGACACUCAGGUGUAAAUCCAGGAAAUAAAACUGACAAUUCCAUUCAGCAGUGUGUGUGUGUGUGUGUGUGUGUGUGUGUGUGUGUGU
ensembl:lncRNA